AACAACAUAAUGCUGUCUGUUACUCAUGAUUUCCAUUUGGUAUUAACUCUUUUCUGUUCUCUGAAUAAGGUGAACACGGACAUGUUCAGGAGGUGUGGGGUCAAGCACCGCAUGUCCUCCGCCUACCACCCGCAAACUAAUGGUAUGUGGAAUAGCAUUAUCACACUGUUGGGUGCAAUUGUCAUUUGUGGUAAAGAAAAAUGUUUAUUUUGGUUAUUGUUAUCACUUCGACAAACAGGAUUGGAUGAGAGGACAAACCAAACUCUCAAAAUUUCGAUUGGGAAGACCCUCGACGGACUUCAGGAGAGGUGGGAAGAUCAAUUAAAAGAAAUUGUUUUUGCCCACAACUCUUGUGUUCAGUCUUCUUCUAGGUUCUCGCCUUUCCGCCUGAUGUAUGGCCGUGAGCCACGACUCUUUUGUGAGGUCACUGGAGGAGACUCUCCGGAGGAGGAGGAUGUCGACAGUCCAGAUGAGGCGGACGUCGAGGCCUAUGUCGAGGAGCGACACAGGAAAGAUGCCGAGGUUUUUGAAAAGGUAAGUAAAUAUUUAGCGAGUUGACACCUGUAGCGUGUGGACAAUGUUAACAAAGGUCGGUUGUGCACAAAAUUGCUUUGUUACAUAACCAGGUGCAUGCCAACCUGGAGAGGGCCCAGCAGAGACAGAGAGAUGCCUACGGGAAGAGGAUUAAGAAGGGGACCAAGAGGUAUCCUAUCAGGCCAGGGAUGGUGGUGUUGAAGAAGGAUGAGCGGAAGCGCGGGAGGCCAGGCAUGACAAUGAAGCCUACUUGGCCAAACAAGUACAAGUAAGUAGACAUGUCUCGUUUUUAGUGGUUUCUGACGUAGUGUGGUGGUUUGAGGCACAUUAACUUAUACAACAUAUGCAACCCCAUAAAAAAGAAUGCUCUGAAGCUGCACGUGAGAAGUAUAAGUUAAUAUGACGUGAGUUGGCACUAAUUUCACAUAUUUUUCAAGGGUGGUGAAGGUGGAGGACAAUUUUGUGGAGCUGGAGACCAUGGAUGGAAUCCCUCUGACUUCCAGGACACCCUACGCUUCAGUGAAGCCAGUUCGUAUCAGUAUGUGCUCUACUGUUAUACUUAUACUCAUACUCAUACUUACGUUAGUCUGCUAUGCCUAAACAUCUUUUCUUACUUGCUCUGGUGCAUUUCCAAAGUUGUCAUUUAUGUGUGCACAGUAGUCAGAGAGAAUAAAAGUUCAAGCCUUUUUCUCUUUGCCA
ensembl:lncRNA